AACGAACGCUGGCGGCGUGGAUAAGACAUGCAAGUCGAGCGGGACAUGAUUUGUAGCAAUACAAAUGAUGUUCAGCGGCGCAAGGGUGCGUAACACGUGGGCAAUCUGCCGAGAAGUGGGGGAUAGCUCGCCGAAAGGCGAAUUAAUACCGCAUGUGGUUAAGGACGACAUCUUCCUGACACCAAAGCCGGGGCAACCUGGCGCUUCUUGAUGAGCCCGCGGCCUAUCAGCUAGUUGGUGAGGUAACGGCUCACCAAGGCUAUGACGGGUAGCUGGUCUGAGAGGACGACCAGCCACACUGGAACUGAGACACGGUCCAGACACCUACGGGUGGCAGCAGUCGAGAAUUUUUCUCAAUGGGGGAAACCCUGAAGGAGCGACGCCGCGUGGAGGAUGAAGGUCUUCGGAUUGUAAACUCCUGUCAUUUGGGAACAAUUGUCAGUCGUUAACUGCGAUUGAUUUGAUAGUACCAGAAGAGGAAGAGACGGCUAACUCUGUGCCAGCCGCCGCCGUAAAAC
rnacentral:rRNA from 1 species